GACGAACGCUGGCGGCGUGCUUAACACAUGCAAGUCGAACGGAAAGGCCCUGCUUUUGUGGGGUGCUCGAGUGGCGAACGGGUGAGUAACACGUGAGUAACCUGCCCUUGACUUUGGGAUAACUUCAGGAAACUGGGGCUAAUACCGGAUAGGAGCUCCUGCUGCAUGGUGGGGGUUGGAAAGUUUCGGCGGUUGGGGAUGGACUCGCGGCUUAUCAGCUUGUUGGUGGGGUAGUGGCUUACCAAGGCUUUGACGGGUAGCCGGCCUGAGAGGGUGACCGGCCACAUGGGGACUGAGAUACGGCCCAGACUCCUACGGGAGGCAGCAGUGGGGAAUAUUGCACAAUGGGCGGAAGCCUGAUGCAGCAACGCCGCGUGCGGGAUGACGGCCUUCGGGUUGUAAACCGAUUUCGCCUGUGACGAAGCGUGAGUGACGGUAAUGGGUAAAGAAGCACCGGCUAACUACGUG
rnacentral:rRNA from 1 species